rnacentral:lncRNA from 1 species
UUCAACACCCAUUGUGAGUGGGCUGAUUAGCUUCUUUGCAAAAUACGUGUUAGCUGGCACUUUGUUAUCCUUACGAAGCAUGUCUACAAUAAUGCUCAAGAACGCAUCAAAGCCAGCAUCAUAAAGACCAUAUCUAGCUUUGCACACCAAUAACUUUAGCAUAGACUGCAACAUCGUGAACUCUUUGGUGCAACCCUUGGACUCAUCAUUACAAAGGCUCUUCUGCUGCAUUCAUUAGGGCCUCCAUACCUUUCAUGAAGAACACUGAUGGAUCUUCCGCAUGACGACGCAACAUUGCCUCUAGAAAUUCUGCAUCUUCCGCAUCCAUGUUAGUUUCGGUGCCAUCUUCAUUUCAUCUAGCAAAACCAUGAUCAGGAACAUUUGGCACAACAUGUUCAGUGGCUAGACCAUCGGUAUCAGGUUGUUGUGUCUCGUGUACGAACUCAAACCCAUCAACAAUUCCAGUUGUAUAAGGCGCAGAGCUACCAUCUCCAUGCUUUGUCCAAAUCAAUUAAUAUUUCAUAAAUCCUCGACGGACCAGAUGAGUAAGGAUUUGUUGAAUGUCAUCAGAUACACCAAGAUUUCUACAAUCCAUGCAUGGACAAUGUAUGUGUGUCUUGUUCUUGAAGCAUGGUUUUGAGCAGCAUCAAUAAACCUCUGGACCUCAGUUAUGUAUGAUGGAUCUAGUCUUGAUAAAUUAUACAUCCAAAAUGAUCUCUCCAUCACUACCUGUAAAACACCAUUCAUAUGAUCUAAGGGUUUACAAAGGAUUUAUCUAGGGUUUAUUAGCUAGAGUUUAUGGUUAAUCUUGAGAUUAAAGGAAAAAACCUAAGUUACAUAAUUAAAAAAUAAUCUAAGUACAUAGCAUAAUUAUAGAAACACACAAUCUUACAUUUCUCUCUCUCUAAAAUUGAUAAGCAAUCAUGAAAAUGGAGAGAGGAGAGGCAUUAUCCAACCAUAUUAAGCAACCCCAUCUAACCAUAUCAACAAAUAAAGACAAGAAGCUAGCUAUUCUUCUCUCUCACUCAUGGAACAUACAUACAUGUGGAUAAAGAAAUUGAAAAAUUUAUAAAGAGAGAGAGACAUAAAUUAAAAAACCUAAGUAUAGCAUAACUAUAUAAACACAACAUUCAUUAUAAAUAGAUAGAUGAUGUGGAAGGUGAUAAUAAAAAACCUAACUACCAAUUAAAAAAAUAAAAAAUCAAAAAUUAUCUCUCUACAUAAAUAUACAAGAACACACAUUGGUUUAAUCUUGUAAAAACUUGCUAAAUUGAGAAGCAAACAUGUUGAGAGGCAUUAUCCAACCAUAUUAAACAACCCCAUCUAACCAUAUUAACAAAUGAAGACAAGAAGCUAGCUAUUCUUCUCUCUCACUCAUGGUGAAACCCUAGAUCAAAAAGUGGCUCAAAUUGAGCUAGAAUGAGCAAAUUGAGGCAAUAACUAACCUUUUUUAGCAACCUCCUUCCCAGAAAUGAAGAUCAAAACCUCACCCUUGUAUUUUGAGAAAUCUGGAACUCCAAAAUUGCCCCAAUGGAAGGUGGGUGCGAGAUAUUGUUCUGGUCGAGG